rnacentral:rRNA from 1 species
AUUGAACGCUGGCGGCAGGCCUAACACAUGCAAGUCGAGCGGAGCGGCGGACGGGUGAGUAAUGCCUAGGAAUCUGCCUGGUAGUGGGGGAUAACGUCCGGAAACGGGCGCUAAUACCGCAUACUAUCAGAUGAGCCUAGGACGGAUUAGCUAGUUGGUGGGGUAAAGGCCUACCAAGGCGACGAUCCGUAACUGGUCUGAGAGGAUGAUCAGUCACACUGGGACUUGGAAACGGUACACACCCCUACGGUAGGAAGGAUGGGUGAAUUUUAGAAAAUUGGCGAAAGGCUGAUCCAACCCUGCCGGGUGUGUGAAGAAGGUCUUCGGGUUGUAAAGUACUUUCAGCGGGGAGGCGUUACCCGCAGAAGAAGCACCGGCUAACUCCGUGCCAGCAGCCGCGGUAAUAC